AGGACGAACGCUGGCGGCGUGCUUAACACAUGCAAGUCGAGCGGAAAGGCCCUUCGGGGUACUCGAGCGGCGAACGGGUGAGUAACACGUGAGCAACCUGCCCCUGGCUCUGGGAUAGCCUCCGGAAACGGGGAUUAAUACCGGACAUUCACUUCCUUCCGCAUGGUUGGUGGUGGAAAGUUUUUCGGCCGGGGAGGGGCUCGCGGUCUAUCAGCUUGUUGGCGGGGUAACGGCCCGCCAAGGCGACGACGGAUAGCCGGCCUGAGAGGGGCGAGUCGGACCGACGACUGGGACUGAGACACGGCCCAGACUCCUACGGGAGGCAGCAGUGGGGAAUAUUGCACAAUGGGCGCAAGCCUGAUGCAGCGACGCCGCGUGGGGGAUGAAGGCCUUCGGGUUGUAAACCCCUUUCACCAGGAGCGAAUUCAGACGGUACCUGGGGAAGAAGCGCCGGCUAACUACGUGCCAGCAGCCGC
rnacentral:rRNA from 1 species